AGCAGUCGCCGCGGUAAUACGAAGGGUGCAAGCGUUACUCGGAAUUACUGGGCGUAAAGCGUGCGUAGGUGGUGGUUUAAGUUCGUUGUGAAAGCCCUGGGCUCAACCUGGGAAUUGCAGUGGAUACUGGGUCACUAGAGUGUGGUAGAGGAUAGUGGAAUUUCCGGUGUGGCAGUGAAAUGCGUAGAGAUCGGAAGGAACAUCUGUGGCGAAGGCGACUAUCUGGGCCAACACUGACACUGAGGCACGAAAGCGUGGGGAGCAAACAGGAUUAGAUACCCCGGUAGUCCCUGUCUCUUAUAC
rnacentral:rRNA from 1 species